UACGAAGGGGGCUAGCGUUGUUCGGAAUUACUGGGCGUAAAGGGCGCGUAGGCGGUACUUCAAGUCAGGCGUGAAAGCCCCGGGCUCAACCUGGGAACCGCGCUUGAGACUGGAGAACUAGAGUUCGGGAGAGGAUUGUGGAAUUCCCAGUGUAGAGGUGAAAUUCGUAGAUAUUGGGAAGAACACCGAUGGACGAAGGCAGCCAUCUGGACCGACACUGACGCUGAGGCGCGAAAGCGUGGGGAGCAAACAGG
rnacentral:rRNA from 1 species